rnacentral:misc_RNA from 1 species
CUGAACCUCAAGUCUGAGUCUGCCGCCAGCUAGAUGUUGUGCUCACGUCCGCAAGCUUGCCAGCUUUCUUUUAAUAAGCAAAGGUGGCAUUUCAACAGCCAAAAAGUAAGAGAUUACUAUCAUUAUUAUUCUCUAUUAAUGUGCAGAGGUACACUAAAAUGUAGAAAUGUUAAAAUAUAGAUGCAAUUUGACAUUGAAGGUUAGCAGCAUUUACAAGAAGAUGGCAAUGAUCUUUGAUCGGCCUUUCUCUUAAGUCUAAACCGUGAGCAUCUAAGCAGCCCUCGCAUGCAAAUUGGAGCAAUAAACCUUCGCAAAGAAACCACUUCACUAAAGUCAUGUCAGCUUAAAAUCCUCGCAUCUGUUUGCAAUCAAUUGUGUCCUAUCAAAGAAGCAUUAACCCUUCAUUGACCUUCAAAUGAAGAAACAAACGAUGGGUCAUUGAAAUGACCAUGCACUCUCUAGCAUUACUGAGAUCACCAGGGUCAUACAUUGGAUAGGCUUAAAAGGAAAAUCGUGGGUCACUAACAGUUAAUUAACGUUAUAACACAGGAACUACCCUUACAGGAAUUUACAUAAAUACAUUCUAACAAAAUAUACAAUCAAACAUCAAUUCACAAAAUCCCCAACCCUUUUCAAACAGAAUUUCGUACUAUUAACAAGUUUUAACUUGUCAUGCUUGAGGUGAUUUGGAUGAUUUAUAGAAUAUACCUCUAAUGUGUAUUGACAAAACCAUUUGAGUAAAGGUCAAGCCUUUCCAAAUAAACAAGCAAAGCAGCAUAAAAAAAAUUAUUAGGAUUAGUAGCCCGCUCUAUCACUUUCUUUUGCAGAGAUGCUAACUAACAAUUUAAACAAAUUAAAAAAAAAAAAAUCUAAACUACUGUCAGCAUGAGGACACAAUUAAAAGGUGAAUCAAAUAUGAUAGUUUGCACUUUCUGCCACCAAAUCCAUUAAGCACUAAGUUUGAUAUACACAAAAAGUUCAUUAUGAUUCGUCUCCCAACACCUGAAAAGGCACUGUACAAAAAAUUUCAACAUGUUCUGUGCAUAACAAUGGGAACCCUUCAACCCCAUGAAGGUAAUGCAAAUGAACCAUCACCAUGAGAACUGGUCAUAACUCAAAAAUCAGUAAGCAAAAACACAAUUCCAACUAUUCCCAGCUCACACGGUAAGUUUAGGACAGAUAGGGUUCAGUAAGGUAUCAUUAGCUAAGGAAAACAAGCCAAGCAAAAGUGCACAGAUAUGGUCUACAUUAAAUGUUGAACAUUUCUUUUCAAGUACAGCAAUUUGCAAAAAAACAAUUACUAACAUCAUGGCGAAUAGCAAUGAUCUUUUAUGCAUGUCGAAGUUAUUCAGCACUCCCUUUUCACUCACAGCAAGGACAAACGAAUGAAAAAUGCUUGAAUUUGGAUUAAGAAUUCUUUUCUUAAGUAUAUUAAAAUCAUUUUCUUUGUGUUUAGGCUCAUGAAUAUAACUAUAAUUCAACUCAAUUAAGCCUCAAUCCAAGCUCAACUCAGCUCAUGACUAUAACUAUAACUACAUCAACUAAAUCAUAAGAAUUCCAUGUAUUAGAAAAUUGCACUGAAUUAAAAAUGCAUUCAUAUAGUGCAAUAAGAAACACUAACCCAAAAUAUCCUACUCAUUCCAAAAACUAUUACUGCUGCAACUACUAAAUAGAAACAAAAUGACUCAAAUUAAGUUCAGACAUGAUGCAUCUUAAAUUACCAUGGCUGAGACAAAAUCCUCUGUUGAAAAACCAAAACUACUGGCUUAUGCACUACCGUCAAGAAAACCCUUUCCCAAGCUUUUGAAUUGCACAAAACAUCUUUCUUCUUGACCCAACAGCAUUAAUCCCCAUAUCCUUCAAAUCCUCCAGUGUCAACAUUGGUAAAACCUCAUCAUCCACCUCAUGGAUUUCAAAAACUGGAGCAUACCGCCCCAACCCUAUACUAUUCAGCCAAAUCCUCACCCCAUCCUCUCCUCCACCACCACACCUCCCAUUAUUCCUGUAAUCUCUGGCGUCAGUAUCCGAUGGGCCUGAUAAUUCAAUCCCGUCGCGAUUAUGAUUAUGAUUAUCCCUUGCCCUAAUUGCCCAUCUAUUGUAAUAAAUUUCCCUCUCGUUUCUCUCGUUCCCGUCUCCCAAAUUCUCAAGCGAGUGAAUAGGACUAUGUUCUUUUAACGGACUUUCUGAAUUUUCCAUGUCGAAUCCGCGAUAAGUAUCAUCCACAUCUUCACCACAACUGUAUUUCGCAUCUCCUUCGGCAUUGUUGUUUGCACCGCCACCACCAGCAUCGUCGAUUUUGGAGACCCAACUGGAUCUGACUCGCUUGGUGGUGGCAUUGGAGGCCCGCUUUUUCGAAUCCUUGACUCUCCAGCUUCCAAUUGCGACGGUAUCCAAAUUGACCUCCUUGUCCUCAUCUAGGGUUUCAUUGAACUCACCGCUAGUAGUUAAAUUGGUUAAAGCCCGGGUCUUUGAGCCUUUACUAGAGGUAUUAGGAUCCUUUUUGUGAUCGAGAGACAGGAGCUGAUGAUGCUUCCAUUGCUUAUUAUUGGUGGUCCUCCGCGGAUGGGUGUCGUAGUGCUGGUCGCCGCCGAUUUCGCCUAAACGGACGCUGGGCCUCCGCUGGCGCUUGGAGCCGACGGUCUCCGAUGACGUGACUGCAAUUGGAGGUCCUCCUCUUUCUCCUGCAGAGCUGCCGCCGUUUAGAUGGCCCUCCGGUGGAGGUAAGUCCGCCAUUUCCCAAGACGAAAGUUUGAGAUCCCCAGGCAAUUUUCCGGUGGCUGAACUUGGGUCCACUGUGUCUAUUGUGCUCCUAUGUAGGUUUGUUAAUAUGUGUAUGAGAUCAUUUCUUAUAUGUGUGCAGAGAGAGAGAGAGAGGAAAUGGAGAAAAAAGAUAGAGCAGUUCGAUUGUGUGUGUGAGAGAGAGAGAGCGAGAGAGAGA